AAGGAUGGCUAAUACCGCAUACGCCCUGAGGGGGAAAGCGGGGGAUCUAAGGACCUCGCGUUAUUUGAGCGGCCGAUGUUGGAUUAGCUAGUUGGUGGGGUAAAGGCCUACCAAGGCGACGAUCCAUAGCGGGUCUGAGAGGAUGAUCCGCCACAUUGGGACUGAGACACGGCCCAAACUCCUACGGGAGGCAGCAGUGGGGAAUUUUGGACAAUGGGGGGAACCCUGAUCCAGCCAUGCCGCGUGUCUGAAGAAGGCCUUCGGGUUGUAAAGGACUUUUGUUAGGGAAGAAAAGCUGGGUGCUAAUACCACCUAGUGCUGACGGUACCUAAAGAAUAAGCACCGGCUAACUACGUGCCAGCAGCCGCGGUAAUACGUAGGGUGCGAGCGUUAAUCGGAAUUACUGGGCGUAAAGCGAGCGCAGACGGUUAAAUAAGUCAGAUGUGAAAUCCCCGAGCUCAACUUGGGACGUGCAUUUGAAACUGUAUAACUAGAGUGUGUCAGAGGGAGGUAGAAUUCCACGUGUAGCAGUGAAAUGCGUAGAGAUGUGGAGGAAUACCGAUGGCGAAGGCAGCCUCCUGGGAUAACACUGACGUUCAUGCUCGAAAGCGUGGGUAGCAAACAGGAUUAGAUACCCUGGUAGUCCACGCCCUAAACGAUGACAAUUAGCUGUUGGGGUACUAGUUACCUUAGUAGCGAAGCUAACGCGUGAAAUUGUCCGCCUGGGGAGUACGGUCGCAAGAUUAAAACUCAAAGGAAUUGACGGGGACCCGCACAAGCGGUGGAUGAUGUGGAUUAAUUCGAUGCAACGCGAAGAACCUUACCUGGUCUUGACAUGUACGGAAUCUCUUAGAGAUAGGAGAGUGCCUUCGGGAACCGUAACACAGGUGCUGCAUGGCUGUCGUCAGCUCGUGUCGUGAGAUGUUGGGUUAAGUCCCGCAACGAGCGCAACCCUUGUCAUUAGUUGCCAUCAUUAAGUUGGGCACUCUAAUGAGACUGCCGGUGACAAACCGGAGGAAGGUGGGGAUGACGUCAAGUCCUCAUGGCCCUUAUGACCAGGGCUUCACACGUCAUACAAUGGUCGGUACAGAGGGUAGCGAAGCCGCGAGGUGAAGCCAAUCUCAGAAAGCCGAUCGUAGUCCGGAUUGCACUCUGCAACUCGAGUGCAUGAAGUCGGAAUCGCUAGUAAUCGCAGGUCAGCAUACUGC
rnacentral:rRNA from 1 species